GAUGAACGCUGGCGGCGUGCCUAAUACAUGCAAGUCGAGCGAACAGACGAGGAGCUUGCUCCUCUGACGUUAGCGGCGGACGGGUGAGUAACACGUGGAUAACCUACCUAUAAGACUGGGAUAACUUCGGGAAACCGGAGCUAAUACCGGAUAAUAUAUUGUACCGCAUGGUUCAAUAGUGAAAGACGGUUUUGCUGUCACUUAUAGAUGGAUCCGCGCCGCAUUGGCUAGUUGGUAAGGUAACGGCUUACCAAGGCGACGAUGCGUAGCCGACCUGAGAGGAUGAUCGGCCACACUGGAACUGAGACACGGUCCAGACUCCUACGGGAGGCAGCAGUAGGGAAUCUUCCGCAAUGGGCGAAAGCCUGACGGAGCAACGCCGCGUGAGUGAUGAAGGUCUUCGGAUCGUAAAACUCUGUUAUUAGGGAAGAACAAAUGUGUAAGUAACUAUGCACGUCUUGACGGUACCUAAUCAGAAAGCCACGGCUAACUACGUG
rnacentral:rRNA from 1 species